rnacentral:rRNA from 1 species
GAUGAACGCUAGCGACAGGCCUAACACAUGCAAGUCGAGGGGCAUCGGGGCGAGGAGCAAUCCUUGCCGCCGGCGACCGGCGCACGGGUGAGUAACGCGUAUGCGACCUGCCCGUUGCAGGGGGAUAAUCGGGAGAAAUCCCGUCUAAUACCGCGUAACGCCGCGGGGCUGCAUGGCCCUGCGGCCAAAGGGAGCGAUUCCGGCAACGGAUGGGCAUGCGUGACAUUAGCUAGUUGGCGGGGCAACGGCCCACCAAGGCGACGAUGUCUAGGGGUUCUGAGAGGAAGGUCCCCCACACUGGUACUGAGACACGGACCAGACUCCUACGGGAGGCAGCAGUGAGGAAUAUUGGUCAAUGGGCGCGAGCCUGAACCAGCCAAGUCGCGUGAGGGAUGACGGCCCUACGGGUUGUAAACCUCUUUUGUCGGGGAGCAAAUUCCGUUACGUGUAACGGAGUCGAGAGUACCCGAAGAAAAAGCAUCGGCUAACUCCGUGCCAGCAGCCGCGGUAAUACGGAGGAUGCGAGCGUUAUCCGGAUUUAUUGGGUUUAAAGGGUGCGUAGGCGGACUGUCAAGUCAGCGGUAAAAUACGGGGGCUCAACCUCCGCCCGCCGUUGAAACUGACGGUCUUGAGUGGGCGAGAAGUAUGCGGAAUGCGUGGUGUAGCGGUGAAAUGCAUAGAUAUCACGCAGAACUCCGAUUGCGAAGGCAGCAUACCGGCGCCCAACUGACGCUGAAGCACGAAAGCGUGGGUAUCGAACAGGAUUAGAUACCCUGGUAGUCCACGCAGUAAACGAUGAAUACUAGCUGUCCGGGGCGAAUGAGCCCUGGGUGGCACAGCGAAAGCGUUAAGUAUUCCACCUGGGGAGUACGCCGGCAACGGUGAAACUCAAAGGAAUUGACGGGGGCCCGCACAAGCGGAGGAACAUGUGGUUUAAUUCGAUGAUACGCGAGGAACCUUACCCGGGCUCAAACGACACAGGAACGUACCUGAAAGGGUUCGGCUCUACGGAGCCUGUGUCGAGGUGCUGCAUGGUUGUCGUCAGCUCGUGCCGUGAGGUGUCGGCUUAAGUGCCAUAACGAGCGCAACCCCCAUCGACAGUUGCUAACAGGUCAGGCUGAGGACUCUGUCGAGACUGCCGGCGCAAGCUGCGAGGAAGGCGGGGAUGACGUCAAAUCAGCACGGCCCUUACGUCCGGGGCGACACACGUGUUACAAUGGCAGGUACAGCGGGAAGCCACCUGGCGACAGGGAGCGGAACCCGAAAGCCUGUCUCAGUUCGGAUUGGAGUCUGCAACCCGACUCCAUGAAGCUGGAUUCGCUAGUAAUCGCGCAUCAGCCACGGCGCGGUGAAUACGUUCCCGGGCCUUGUACACACCGCCCGUCAAGCCAUGGAAGCCGGGGGUGCCUGAAGUGCGCUGCCGCGAGGAGCGCCCUAGGGUAAAACCGGUGACUGGGGCU